UAGGGAAUCUUCGGCAAUGGGGGCAACCCUGACCGAGCAACGCCGCGUGAGUGAAGAAGGUUUUCGGAUCGUAAAGCUCUGUUGUAAGAGAAGAACGAGUGUGAGAGUGGAAAGUUCACACUGUGACGGUAACUUACCAGAAAGGGACGGCUAACUACGUGCCAGCAGCCGCGGUAAUACGUAGGUCCCGAGCGUUAUCCGGAUUUAUUGGGCGUAAAGCGAGCGCAGGCGGUUAGAUAAGUCUGAAGUUAAAGGCUGUGGCUUAACCAUAGUACGCUUUGGAAACUGUUUAACUUGAGUGCAGAAGGGGAGAGUGGAAUUCCAUGUGUAGCGGUGAAAUGCGUAGAUAUAUGGAGGAACACCGGUGGCGGAAGCGGCUCUCUGGUCUGUAACUGACGCUGAGGCUCGAAAGCGUGGGGAGCAAACAGGAUUAGAUACCCUGGUAGUCCACGCCGUAAACGAUGAGUGCUAGGUGUUGGGUCCUUUCCGGGACUCAGUGCCGCAGCUAACGCAUUAAGCACUCCGCCUGGGGAGUACGACCGCAAGGUUG
rnacentral:rRNA from 1 species